UCCUACUCCUCAGGCUCUGGAACGACUAUCCCUCCCCACCGGACGGUCCCUGCAGCACAGAUGGCCCGGAUCAGCGCACCCUAACGUCCCGCCGAGCGGAGGAUGAUGAAGGCCGCAGUCGAUGGCUGCCCAGGCUUGCUGGGAGUUGUAGUUUUGAAACAUCUGGAGGUCCGCAGGUUUCCAGCAACAGUUCAAGAUAUGUGGCUGACAAGAUUGUGCCAAGAAAAGUUCUUCUAAUUGCAACCAAACUCGAUACUUUCCUGGCCAGUAAGUAUUCCUGAAACUAAACUCAUGCACGUGUUCACUAGAAGGUAAUAUGAAUGUCAGUGUUAUUUGUAUCAAAUGUCUAGCAUAAAAAUGUCUAGCAUAAACUAAAAAUAGUGUUCUGGGGAGAUGUGUUUUAUGCCAAGGGACCCCAGUAGCCAAGGCAUUGGGCAGAGAGCCUCCGGCAACCUAAUCCUCAACUAUAAGUCAUAAAUCUAGUCACGUAUACAAUGUCUAAUAUAUAGUCUAGUCGUGUACAGUAUAUCACAUACAUAGUGUAUUAUAUGCAUAGUCAAAAAUGUCAAGUUGUGUAUAGUCCAGUUAUAACAAGCCUAGUCAAGUCAGUAAGUGCAUAGUCAAAGGUCCUUACAAGUAAAGUAGAUGUAUAUAUGUAUCAAUCCUGUUCAACUACAAAACCGAGCGUGUAUGGACUAUUAUACAAAGACUCUAAUGUUAUUUGUUAUUUCCCCAGGCUGAAAUGGACGUUUGUGCAUAAAAUGCCUCAGGACUACAUCUGGCCACGCGGCCACUUCAUUCCUCAAGACUGACAGAACCUUACGUCCAGGACGAUUUAUGUUAAGCAAGGGGGUUUUUGAUGUCCCAGUACAGGUACAUGAUCCUGUACUACCUGUAUGCCCUGUCAGGUUGAGUCCCUUAGUGACCUGGGGGCUCCCCUGCAGGUUCUCCCCCUGUUAUUGGUUUUAUAUGGGGUGUGUAUAUCACGUUCAUGUAUAGACAGGAUCCCUAUGUCUGGAUAGUAUACAAGAUGUGUGGAGGUCUCAAGAACCUGUGUAUAAAUUUGUCACAUGUUAUGCAGUCACAUGAUCUGUUGUCACAUGUUCUCCCAGAGCACCAGCUUAACCUAUGACCCACAGCUUGAUCAAUGGCCUUUAGUCCAGCCCCCCUACUAUAUAAAGGGGCGGCCAUUUGCAAUUUUCUCUCUUAGACCCUAACAUCUGAUCUGAGAACAAGUAUUUCUGAGGCAGCAACCACCAGAGAUCUCAGGACAGGUGAUCAGCAUCUGGAAGGCCACAAAAGCUACAAGUCUCUCCAGUAAGUCUCAAGUCUAUGUCUGCUGUCACCGAAACUAGUCAAGUCUAAUUACAAGUCAAGUUAAUUACAAGUAUAUUGGUCCAGCAAGCUGUGAGGUCCUUCUGGGUCCUGGCCCCCUCUCUGGGAAUUCUGGCCUUAGCUGUGAAGAUAAUGCCAUCUGUCUUCUACUCAGUAAAGAGCCUCCAUUUGA